GAUGAAGAACGUAGCGAAAUGCGAUAAGUAAUGUGAAUUGCAGAAUUCAGUGAAUCAUCGAAUCUUUGAACGCACAUUGCGCCCGCCAGUAUUCUGGCGGGCAUGCCUGUUCGAGCGUCAUUUCAACCCUCAAGCCCAGCUUGGUGUUGGGGAUCGGCACAGGCGCCCUCGGGCGCCAGCCGUCCCCUAAAUCUAGUGGCGGUCCCGCUGCAGCCUCCUCUGCGUAGUAGUUUUCUCCUCGCAAGGGCAGCUCGGUGGCGACCUCGCCGUGAAACCCCCAACUUCUGAAAGGUUGACCUCGAAUCAGGUAGGAAUACCCGCUGAACUUAAGCAUAUCAAUAAGCGGAGGA
rnacentral:misc_RNA from 1 species